UUCAGUGUGUGACAGAGGGCGGCGCCCCAAACCCCGGAUCAGCCCUGCUGUGUGUGCGACCCGGGGCGGCGUCCUAACCCCUGGAUCAGCCCUGCCGUGUGCGCAACCCGGGGAGGCUUGGCAGGCACCGAGGGAUCGGGCCUGCCA